CAAUAGCGUAUAUUUAAGUUGUUGCAGUUAAAAAGCUCGUAGUUGGAUUUCGGAUGGGGUUUGCCGGUCCGUCGUUACGAUGUGCACUGGCCAGUCCUAUCUUGUUGUCGGGGACUAGCUCCUUGGAUUCACUUCCUGGGACUAGGAGCUGACGAGGUUACUUUGAGUAAAUUAGAGUGUUCAAAGCAAGCCUACGCUCUGAAUACAUUAGCAUGGAAUAACACGAUAGGACUCUGGCUUAUCUUGUUGGUCUGUGAGACCAGAGUAAUGAUUAAGAGGGACAGUCGGGGACAUUCGUAUUUCAUUGUCAGAGGUGAAAUUCUUGGAUUUAUGAAAGACGAACUUCUGCGAAAGCAUUUGUCAAGGAUGUUUUCAUUAA
rnacentral:rRNA from 1 species